rnacentral:rRNA from 2 species
UUCUUCGGACAGAGGAGACAGGUGGUGCAUGGUUGUCGUCAGCUCGUGUCGUGAGAUGUUGGGGUUUAAAGUCCCCGGCAACGAGCGCAACCCUUGUCUUUAGUUGCCAUCAUUCAGUUGGGCACUCUAGAGAGACUGCCGAGGACAACUCGGAGGAAGGUGGGGAUGACGUCAAAUCAUCAUGCCCCUUAUGUCCUGGGCUACACACGUGCUACAAUGGCUGGUACAAAGAGACGCAAGACCGCGAGGUGGAGCAAAUCUCAAAAACCAGUCCCAGUUCGGAUUGCAGGCUGCAACUCGCCUGCAUGAAGUCGGAGUUGCUAGUAAUCGCAGAUCAGAAUGCUGCGGUGAAUGCGUUCCCGGGUCUU